rnacentral:tRNA from 1 species
AUUUAAAUAGUUUAAUAAAAAUUUUAAUUUGUGGAAUUAAAGAUAUAUAUUAUUUAUAAUAUUUUAAAUA